GAGGGGAGCUAGCGUUGUUCGGAAUUACUGGGCGUAAAGCGUGCGUAGGCGGUUACUCAAGUCAGAGGUGAAAGCCCGGGGCUCAACCCCGGAACGGCCUUUGAAACUAGGUAACUAGAAUCUUGGAGAGGUUAGUGGAAUUCCGAGUGUAGAGGUGAAAUUCGUAGAUAUUCGGAAGAACACCAGUGGCGAAGGCGACUAACUGGACAAGCAUUGACGCUGAGGCACGAAAGCGUGGGGAGCAAACAGGAUUAGAUACCCUGGUAGUCCACGCCGUAAACGAUGAUAACUAGCUGUCCGGGCACUUGGUGCCUGGGUGGCGCAGCUAACGCAUUAAGUUAUCCGCCUGGGGAGUACGGUCGCAAGAUUA
rnacentral:rRNA from 1 species